UUUCAUAAUUUAUUUUAAUUUUUUUUCUCUUAAAUUAAAAUAUAAUGUUUAAAUUUUUAUUCAAAACCAAAAAAAUUAAAAAUAAAUAAUAAAA
rnacentral:miRNA from 1 species